CUUGGCACUAGGCUUACUUGAGAUGCUCUCCCUGCCACUUCUUCGAGGGUCACCGAAGCUCGUCGGAGUUGAAGGGUAUGAUCAUCAAAAGUUUGAGAGUUGCUGGAGUUCACAGAAGUGUCUUAUCAUCAGAAGGGUGAUAGGUAGAUGAGGCUAUCUUUGAGAGCUACAAACAAAGACCAUUCUCCAUUCAGAGUUGUGGAGACAAUAGUGGAAGAAAGGAGCCAAAAGUAGAUCGUGGAUGCACUUUGU